rnacentral:misc_RNA from 1 species
GAUGAAGAACGCAGCGAAAUGCGAUUCUUGGUGUGAAUUGCAGAAUCCCGCGAAUCAUCGAGUUUUUGAACGCAAGUUGCGCCCGAAGCCAUUCGGCCGAGGGCACGUCUGCCUGGGUGUCACGCAUCGUUGCCCCCCCCAAACUUCGGUUCGGGCGGGGCAGAAGUUGGCCUCCCGUGCGUGCCUGCGCGUGCGGUUAGCCCAAAAGCGAGUCCUCGGCGACGAGCGCCACGAAAAUCGGUGGUUUUUUUGCCCUCGUUCCUCGUCGUGCGUGCCCCGUCGCCCGAACGCGCUCUUGCGACCUUCACGCGUCGCCUCGGUGGCGCUCCCAACGCGACCCCAGGUCAGGCGGGACUACCCGCUGAGUUUAAGCAUAUCAAUAAGCGGAGGA